rnacentral:rRNA from 1 species
AGAGUUUGAUCAUGGCUCAGGAUAAACGCUGGCGGCGCACAUAAGACAUGCAAGUCGAACGGAAGUCGUUGUAAUGAUUUUGACAUGAACAGAGAACUUGUUCGAAGGAAUUGAAGAUUGACUUACAACAAUGGCUUUAGUGGCGGACUGGUGAGUAACACGUAAGCAACCUGCCUAUUAGAGGGGAAUAACAGUGAGAAAUCAUUGCUAAUACCGCAUAUGCCAUAAUAACCACAUGGUUAUAGUGGGAAAGGAGUAAUCCGCUAAUAGAUGGGCUUGCGUCUGAUUAGUUAGUUGGUGGGGUAACGGCCUACCAAGACCGCGAUCAGUAGCCGGACUGAGAGGUUCAACGGCCACAUUGGGACUGAGAUACGGCCCAGACUCCUACGGGAGGCAGCAGUCGGGAAUAUUGCGCAAUGGAGGCAACUCUGACGCAGUGACGCCGCGUAUAGGAAGAAGGUUUUCGGAUUGUAAACUAUUGUCGAUAGGGAAGAAAAAAGACUGUACCUAUCAAGAAAGCUCCGGCUAACUACGUGCCAGCAGCCGCGGUAAUACGUAGGGAGCAAGCGUUAUCCGGAUUUAUUGGGUGUAAAGGGUGCGUAGACGGGAAAUUAAGUUAGUUGUGAAAUCCCUCGGCUCAACUGAGGAACUGCAACUAAAACUGGUUUUCUUGAGUACAGGAGAGGAAAGUGGAAUUCCUAGUGUAGCGGUGAAAUGCGUAGAUAUUAGGAGGAACACCAGUGGCGAAGGCGACUUUCUGGACUGUAACUGACGUUGAGGCACGAAAGUGUGGGGAGCAAACAGGAUUAGAUACCCUGGUAGUCCACACUGUAAACGAUGGAUACUAGGUGUAGGGGGUAUUAAGCCUUCUGUGCCGUCGCUAACGCAGUAAGUAUCCCACCUGGGGAGUACGACCGCAAGGUUGAAACUCAAAGGAAUUGACGGGGGCCCGCACAAGCAGUGGAGUAUGUGGUUUAAUUCGAAGCAACACGAAGAACCUUACCAGGGCUUGACAUAUACAGGAAUAGUUUAGAGAUAGAUUAGUUCUUCGGAACCUGUAUACAGGUGGUGCAUGGUUGUCGUCAGCUCGUGUCGUGAGAUGUUGGGUUAAGUCCCGCAACGAGCGCAACCCCUGUUUCUAGUUGCCAGCACGUUAAGGUGGGAACUCUAGAGAGACUGCCGUUGAUAAAACGGAGGAAGGUGGGGACGACGUCAAAUCAUCAUGCCCUUUAUGUCCUGGGCUACACACGUACUACAAUGGCUAUAACAAAGGGAAGCGAAACAGCGAUGUGAAGCGAAACUCAAAAAAGUAGUCUCAGUUCGGAUUGUAGGCUGAAAUUCGCCUACAUGAAGCCGGAAUUGCUAGUAAUGGCAGGUCAGCAUACUGCCGUGAAUACGUUCCCGGGCCUUGUACACACCGCCCGUCACUCCAUGAGAGUUGGGAAUACCCGAAGCCUGUGAGCUAACAUUUAUGAGGCAGCAGUCCGAAGGUAGAAUCAAUGAUUGGGGUGAAGUCGUAACAAGGUAGCCGUAUCGGAAGGUGCGGCUGGAUCACCUCCUU